AUUGAACGCUGGCGGCGUGCCUAACACAUGCAAGUCGAGCGGUAACAGGUGUAGCAAUACAUGCUGACGAGCGGCGAACGGGUGAGUAAUGCUUCGGAAUCUACCCAAUGGUGGGAAUAACCAGCCGAAAGGUUGGCUAAUACCGCAUACGUCCCACGGGAGAAAGCAGGGGAUCGCAAGACCUUGCGCCAAUGGAUGAGCCGAAGUCGGAUUAGCUAGUUGGAGGGUAACGGCCUACCAAGGCGACGAUCCGUAGCUGGUCUGAGAGGACGACCAGCCACACUGGGACUGAGACACGGCCCAGACUCCUACGGGAGGCAGCAGUGGGGAAUAUUGGACAAUGGGGGAAACCGUCGAUCCAGCGACGCCGCCGUGUGUGAAGAAGGCC
rnacentral:rRNA from 1 species